rnacentral:rRNA from 1 species
UUGGGCGUAAAGAGCUCGUAGGCGGUUUGUCGCGUCUGCUGUGAAAUCCCGAGGCUCAACCUCGGGCCUGCAGUGGGUACGGGCAGACUAGAGUGCGGUAGGGGAGAUUGGAAUUCCUGGUGUAGCGGUGGAAUGCGCAGAUAUCAGGAGGAACACCGAUGGCGAAGGCAGAUCUCUGGGCCGUAACUGACGCUGAGGAGCGAAAGGGUGGGGAGCAAACAGGCUUAGAUACCCUGGUAGUCCACCCCGUAAACGUUGGGAACUAGUUGUGGGGACCAUUCCACGGUUUCCGUGACGCAGCUAACGCAUUAAGUUCCCCGCCUGGGGAGUACGGCCGCAAGGCUAAAACUCAAAGGAAUUGACGGGGACCCGCACAAGCGGCGGAGCAUGCGGAUUAAUUCGAUGCAACGCGAAGAACCUUACCAAGGCUUGACAUACACCAGAACGGGCCAGAAAUGGUCAACUCUUUGGACACUGGUGAACAGGUGGUGCAUGGUUGUCGUCAGCUCGUGUCGUGAGAUGUUGGGUUAAGUCCCGCAACGAGCGCAACCCUCGUUCUAUGUUGCCAGCACGUAAUGGUGGGAACUCAUGGGAUACUGCCGGGGUCAACUCGGAGGAAGGUGGGGAUGA